rnacentral:rRNA from 1 species
CCCUUAGAUGUUCUGGGCCGCACGCGCGCUACACUGAUGCAUUCAACAAGCCUAGCCUUGACCGAGAGGUCCGGGUAAUCUUUGAAACUGCAUCGUGAUGGGGCUAGAUUAUUGCAAUUAUUAAUCUUCAACGAGGAAUGCCUAGUAAGCGUGAUUCAUCAAAUCGCGUUGAUUACGUCCCUGCCCUUUGUACACACCGCCCGUCGCUCCUACCGAUUGAAUGUGUUGGUGAGCACUCUGGAGUGCAGCAAUGCAUAAAUGAAUGCAAACCUGAGCGUUUAGAGGAAGGAUAAGUCGUAACA